rnacentral:misc_RNA from 1 species
ACCGAACUCAACAACUCAAGUAGGAAUGGUACUUACGGCAAGAACAAGUUACCACAACAACAAGCUAUAACUAGCAAAUAUCCUUACCUCAACAACAAGUGUCCCAAGGCAAGCAACACGGCAACAAGUCCAACCACAAAAAUCACGCAAGUUACUCCCAACUUAAAGUGAACCUCACGGCAACACUUUCCACACUUGAGUGUCCCACG